rnacentral:rRNA from 1 species
UACAGAGGUCCCGAGCGUUGUUCGGAUUCAUUGGGUGUAAAGGGUGCGUAGGCGGCGGGGCAAGUCUGAUGUGAAAUCCCGGGGCUCAACCCCGGAACUGCAUUGGAUACUGCCUUGCUAGAGUACUGGAGAGGGAACUGGAAUUUACGGUGUAGCAGUGAAAUGCGUAGAGAUCGUAAGGAAGGCCAGUGGCGAAGGCGAGUUCCUGGACAGUUACUGACGCUGAGGCACGAAGGCCAGGGGAGCAAACGGG